rnacentral:rRNA from 1 species
GUUGAACGCUGGCGGCAGGCCUAACACAUGCAAGUCGAGCGGAUGAAGGGAGCUUGCUCCUGGAUUCAGCGGCGGACGGGUGAGUAAUGCCUAGGAAUCUGCCUGGUAGUGGGGGAUAACGUCCGGAAACGGGCGCUAAUACCGCAUACGUCCUGAGGGAGAAAGUGGGGGAUCUUCGGACCUCACGCUAUCAUAUGAGCCUAGGUCGGAUUAGCUAGUUGGUGGGGUAAAGGCCUACCAAGGCGACGAUCCGUAACUGGUCUGAGAGGAUGAUCAGUCACACUGGAACUGAGACACGGUCCAGACGCCUACGGGAGGCAGCAGUGGGGAAUAUUGGACAAUGGGCGAAAGCAUGAUCCAGCCAUGCCGCGUGUGUGAAGAAGGUCUUCGGAUUGUAAAGCACUUUAAGUUGGGAGGAAGGGAAGUAAGUUAAUACCUUGCUGUUUUGACGUUAACAACAGAAUAAGCACCGGCUAACUUCGUG